UCUCGAUAGCGUACAAGUUAGUUCAUAUUUGUAUGGAGUUGGAACGUUUGCCUACCUACGUUUGCCGCUAGGGGCGCUGUUCCAACUACAUACAAAAUUGUGCUAGCUUUUAUGCUAUCGA
rnacentral:pre_miRNA from 9 species